UUCUGUAGUUCAAAUGGUAAAGAAUCUGCCUGCAAUGCAGAACACCCAGGUUAGAUCCCUGGGUCAGAAA
rnacentral:tRNA from 1 species